UUCUCAUCGAAGCGAAAAUAGAAAUGAUGUAAUGAUGUUUACUUUUUGUAUGGACGGAUGGACCAGGGGUGUCCUUUACACAAAAAGCUGUUGUUGGAGCUCCAAAAUCGACAUACAACGUUGUCUGAACAUUUAAGAAUUCAGGUGUAACAGCCAACAAUGUCUUUGGUGGCAGCCAUAAAUGAGAAGUACAGGAUCAAUGAAGAAGAUUUUCAGUCCAGUUUUGUUAAGUUUGGAAAAUAUAACACUGAUAAAGCCAAAGAAUAUUUGAAUUGUAUUCCUGAAAGUGUGACUUUGCAACACUAUGGCCUUGAUUCCAUAGGCCAGGAUGAGGAAUUGAAGGAGCUUUGCCGGAACUUGAAGACUCUCGAUUUAGCUGGAAAUGAAUAUGCAAGUUGGAAUGCUGUCUUGCUACUUUUCAAGAAUUUACCAUGUCUUGAGCUUCUGAACCUGAGUCACAAUCCUUUGUUGGGCCAUUUUCCAGAUCCUGGAAAAAUUGUUGCAGAAAAGCUUAAAACUCUAAUUUUGAAUCAUAUAAAUGUGUCCUGGGAAGAGAUAAGUCAACUCCAACAUUGCCUUCCUUGCUUAGAAGAACUUCAUUUCAGCCUCAUUGACAAGAGCAACAUUGCUACUGUGGAUCCCCACCAGUGGCCUUCGGUAAAAUGCUUGCACUGCAGUAAUAGUGGACUGGCAACCUCACAAGAUAUACAGGCUCUGGGGCGAAUGUUCCCCAGCUUGCAAAGCCUUAUCAUAGUUGAAAACCCUUUCUGUGAUUUUGGUGACAAUAUAGAGAUGUUUUUCCCAGAACUGAAAUGUUUAAACAUCAGUAAGACAGGUUUAAGCGAAUGGAAUGAGCUGGAAAAAUUGAGGAAACUUCCAAAGUUACGUGAAAUAAGGCUUAAGGGUAUUCCUCUAUUGGACGGUCUGUCAGAUACUCACAGGAGACAGCACACGAUUGCUAGAUUACCGAUGAUUACAAUAUUGAACGGCAGUUCGGUUGGGGAUAGUGAGCGGGUAGCAGCAGAGAGGGCAUUCUUACGGUUCUUCUUAUCAAAGGAUAAGAAACCAUCUAGCCGCAACCAUGGUGUGUCUGAAGUAGUGUGGACUUCCCUUAAUGUGUUGAAUUAGAAGAAGUUCACAAAGACAUUGUGCCUCUAGUAGAUGUUGACUUGACGCCAAUAUAUGUGGUCACAUGUUUGGUCAUCUUUGAGGAGAAGCAGAAAUUGAUGAAGAUAAAUACAAAAAUGACCAUCCUGGAAUUGAAAAAAUCUUUAAAAGAAUUUGUUGGUUUACCAUUGAAACAGUUUCAACUACUGUAUCGUGAUGUGCAGUUGAACCA
rnacentral:misc_RNA from 1 species